rnacentral:rRNA from 1 species
GACGAACGCUGGCGGCGUGCCUAACACAUGCAAGUCGAGCGGCAAGCGGUAGCAAUACCGCCUAGAGCGGCGGACGGGUGAGUAAUGCAUAAGCAACCUGCCCUGUGCUAAGGGAUAACAUCGGGAAACUGAUGCUAAUACCGUAUAAGACCACGAAGCGGCAUCGCUUUGAGGUAAAAGGGUUUACCGGCACAGGAUGGGCUUAUGUUCCAUUAGCUAGUUGGUAGUGUAACGGACUACCAAGGCAACGAUGGAUAGCCGACCUGAGAGGGUGAUCGGCCACACUGGAACUGAGAACGGUCCAGACUCCUACGGGAGGCAGCAGUGGGGAAUAUUGGGCAAUGGAGGAAACUCUGACCCAGCAACGCCGCGUUAAGGAUGAAGGUCUUCGGAUUGUAAACUUAUGUUGCAGAGGACGAAGAAUGACGGUACUCUGCGAGGAAGCCCCGGCAAACUAUGUG